UUAACGAAGCGCGGCGCGAUCCAGUCUUUACGCAAACGCCUGUGGCGAUCACCGCGUAAGGGCCAUUCGGUCAUAGACACCGGCCCGCGGUCAUGCUGUGAAAGACGCGACGA